AUAUGAAUCCCCUGGGACUCUUAUUAAAAUGCACAGUCUGAGCCUAUCUGGGGAGGGGCCUGAGAUCCUGCAUUUCUGUCAAGCUCCCAGGCCAAUUUUAAG
rnacentral:miRNA from 1 species